GAGAACUUCUCACAGAAAGUGCUCGCACGUACGGUCGUCACUGUACAGCAGCCUCCCCUCCAAACUACCACGGCAAAGAUGAAGCAGUUGUUUGAAGCAUGGUGAAAACUGUCCGAUUCUCAACAGCAGCCAUACAUGCAGCUUGCUGAAGAUGAUAAGGUUCGGUACGAGAAUGAAAUGCAGUUGUGGGAAGCAAAAAUGGUCGAACUUGGAUGCGAAGACCUGAUACGUUCCAGAAAGCAAAAGCCAGAAAAGAAAACUGCUGAAACCUGUAAACAAAGCUGAAACAGCCAAAGCUUCUUCAUAUGAAAAUGAGGCAAAAUUAAAGUUGAAAAAAUCAGAAGAAUGAAAUGGUUAAGUAUUUUAUAUUUGAUGCCCUUUGGUUGUCACGUCUUUGUCCUGCUGUGUUAAUGCUGCAGUCUGCAUUAGCACCAAAAUUUGGAGAACCCAUAAAGGGCCCACUGGAGAAGUAGAAAAGAUGAUCAGGGAAGAGAGGAUGCGGUAUCUCUCAGAACUGACUGAAAUAAUCAUUGCAGGUGUAGCCUCAACUGUACAACAGUAACUGGUUAAUCAAGCUGUGAGUAGUGAUACUCACUGACAUCAGCAGAGCUCUCCAGUAAUGGUAGAUAACAGCUAGCUUUUAUAAGAUAUUUUGAAUGAAAGCAAGAAUAUUCUGCAAUGUUACCAUCUAAAUGCUGUAAAUAAGAGCUGAAAUGUGAGUUAAUGCUGCUGUGUUUUAUUCCCUCCGUGGUAUUGGUAGCGAAAUGUUCUACAUUUCAACAAAAGGCACAGGAAAGGUAAAAUACUAACUUUUAUUUCAUGCAUCUGUCUUUUUGUACGAAUCAAUCAGUGUAUACCACCUAUGU